CCUACGGGAGGCAGCAGUGAGGAAUAUUGGUCAAUGGGCGCGAGCCUGAACCAGCCAAGUAGCGUGAAGGAUGACUGCCCUACGGGUUGUAAACUUCUUUUAUAAAGGAAUAAAGUGCGGCACGUGUGCCUUUUUGUAUUUACUUUAUGAAUAAGGAUCGGCUAACUCCGUGCCAGCAGCCGCGGUAAUACGGUGGAUCCGAGCGUUAUCCGGAUUUAUUUGGGUUAAAGGGAGCGUAGAUGGGUUGUUAAGUCAGUUGUGAAAGUUUGCGGCUCAACCGUACAAUUGCAAUUGAUACUGGCAGUCUUGAGUACAGUUGAGGUAGGCGGAAUUCGUGGUGUAGCGGUGAAAUGCUUAGAUAUCACGAAGAACUCCGAUUGCGAAGGCAGCUUACUAAACUGCAACUGACAUUGAGGCUCGAAAGUGUGGGUAUCAAACAGGAUUAGAUACCCCGGUAGUC
rnacentral:rRNA from 1 species